rnacentral:lncRNA from 1 species
GAUACUUACUGCCUGAUAAUGAGGAGCCUUGGCUCCUGGACAGGAACCUAACUCCUGGCUUAUCACAGGGACGACAAUUGGUCUAGAGAAAUCUAUGCUGAACAGGCCAAUCCUCCUCAAGACUUGACCAGUUUCAGCUUUGAGCAACUUGAAGGCCAACUGCCCUGAGUUGAUGAACUUCUGCUUCCUAAUUGGGUUUGUUUUGUUUUGUUUUUGCUUUUUAAAAACUUCUUGAGUUUAUUAUGGCCAAAGGCUAGGUGAGCAGAGAACCUGCUCAUGGCCGACCUUGAGAAAUGUAGGCAGAACGUCCACUGGCAGCAGAGAGCUGAGGAAGUGUUGGGCCGAGCCUUACAAUAGAAGCUGCAGCAGAGGCCUGCGCUCUCCCUUCUGAUGGCUGCCUGGGAAGUCAGACACUAUUCUCGGAGGUCCAACUUCACAGUGAGGAAGGCAAGACACCUAAACAGAAGGUCAUUUUCCCUUAGAUUGCUUCUAAGGCUUAGAAGAACAGAAGGAACAUAAAUGCCUUUAAUUUGCAGGCUGAGUUGGAUGAAAGGGAGGUCUUAAGACUCUU